rnacentral:lncRNA from 1 species
ACUCGGGGUUCCUUAUGUUGUAGAACUAGCGGUGCUUGUCGAACCUGAGGCAAAGUUGCUUCUCUAAGUGUAGAAGUUUGAGGCUGGUGCAACCUAGAUUGUGCCAUCCCAGAUGCUCCAUCAUUAUGAAGCCUUGCCACGACUCCUUCAAUCUCUGCAGUUCUUUGCGAUAACGUAGCGAGGACAUUCAUGAUAGCAUCUAA